AUUGAACGCUGGCGGCAUGCCUUACACAUGCAAGUCGAACGGUAACAGGUCUUCGGAUGCUGACGAGUGGCGAACGGGUGAGUAAUACAUCGGAACGUGCCCAGACGUGGGGGAUAACGAGGCGAAAGCUUUGCUAAUACCGCAUACGAUCUAAGGAUGAAAGCAGGGGACCGCAAGGCCUUGCGCGUUUGGAGCGGCCGAUGGCAGAUUAGGUAGUUGGUGGGAUAAAAGCUUACCAAGCCGAUGAUCUGUAGCUGGUCUGAGAGGACGACCAGCCACACUGGGACUGAGACACGGCCCAGACUCCUACGGGAGGCAGCAGUGGGGAAUUUUGGACAAUGGGCGAAAGCCUGAUCCAGCAAUGCCGCGUGCAGGAUGAAGGCCUUCGGGUUGUAAACUGCUUUUGUACGGAACGAAAAGGCUCUGGCUAAUACCUGGGGCACAUGACGGUACCGUAAGAAUAAGCACCGGCUAACUACGUG
rnacentral:rRNA from 1 species